UACGUAGGGGGCUAGCGUUGUCCGGAAUCAUUGGGCGUAAAGCGCGUGUAGGCGGCCCGGUAAGUCCGCUGUGAAAGUCGGGGGCUCAACCCUCGGAUGCCGGUGGAUACUGUCGGGCUAGAGUGCGGAAGAGGCGAGUGGAAUUCCUGGGUGUAGCGGUGAAAUGACGCAGAUAUCAGGAGGAACACCAAUUGCGAAGGCAGCUCGCUGGGACGUGACUGACGCUGAGACGCGAAAGCGUGGGGAGCAAACAGG
rnacentral:rRNA from 1 species